GACGUCAGUCACUGCCGUUAUCAACAUCAGAUAUGCUGCAAAGAGUACUUACUUUCUGCAUGAAUGGACUCCACUCAGUCAGUUGAACUAAUCAUUCGACCAUCCUAGCUCAGUAUUAGAUAACGCUCCUUGAGUAGAGCCAUGUAAAGAAAAACAACAAAGAAGCUCACAAAUCGAUCUGUCUAAAUUGAACAGUUCAGAAUGUCUUUACUGUCUUUAUGUUUAUAAUUAGGUAACCCCAGAAGAAAAGGAAACCCACAAAACUAUUAGAACCAACACUCACGAGAUUUCACCAUGCGUACACAUAUAGACAUAGACAUAUAUUUACAGUAUACAUAAGUGUAUACGGAUUUAUCAAUACGGACCCCAAUUACAGCUCAAGAACAUGACGGUCCACAGCGACUCCUCGGCUCGCUUGUACACCUCGCCGUCGCGCUUCGCUGGUGAGUCCAGAGCACCGGAGAAUCGCCUCGCCUGCUUCGAGUCCCUCAGCGACUUCAUCCCCGACGAGGACUGGUCUCUGAUCCCCUGCGUCAGCCGGCUCGCCGCCUGGUACACAGCCCUCCCCAUGAACCUCAGGCUCAUCGAAAAACCGCAGCAAACCAACGAUGGAAACUGACUAUGCUUUGAGAGUUGUUGCACAGAACUUUGAGGACAACAGUUGUCGACGAAACGAGGUGCUUAGAUAUAUAAACACAAAGAGAGAGAGAGAGAGAGAGAGGAUAUGGAUGCGGAAGCGAAUCUAGAAACUACUGGCGGUCACCUCGAUGAAAGGAAGGCGGGACAGUGGUAUGGUGAUAUCCUGUGGGCCAGUGCCACUGGAUAUUUCGUGGCGGCGGCGGCGGCUUGUAGAUAUUUCUCGAGGAUAAGGACGAGUUCAUCUUGGAAACUAUUGAUACAAUGAACAAGGAAUUGACACGCAAAACGCAGAAGGCUGGAACUCGGGAGGUCCGAGAAGGGAAAUGUUCAUCUAGCCGUGAAGUUAAACCUAACAAAGAAACGGUGGCUUUUGCACCACUAAAUUUUGCCAAGAAAACCAUUUAACUUGCUUAACCGGUAUCCUUGGAAAAAUUAGGGUUGAAAACUCUUACAUCAAAUCCCAC
rnacentral:lncRNA from 1 species